CGCUCCCCCCCCCCCAGAGCACCCCCCCAUCACACGUGUGGCUGUUCGCAGGGGCGAGCGUUUGCGUCCGCAGUGCACUACGUCCACUUAGCGCACGCUCUGCUGCAGCGGUGCCCAGUCACGAGCCACGGAGAGUAUGCAGGACUUGAGGUCCAUCCAGUCGCUCCUCCUGCUGAUUUCACGGAUUAGUCCCGCCUCUCUGGUUGGAGGUAUGCUAUAAUUGGUGAAAUUUGAGGUCGAGUGAUUAGUUGGAAUUGAAGAUCUGCAUACCCGCAGCCCUCCAUGGCCCGUGAUUGGACACCACUGCCCUGCUGUGUUCAGAGAGCUGUACAGUGCAGGAGAGCGUGGAUGGCGCUCGCCUGAUUUACAUGAGUAAGACUGCCGUACCAGGCUAGCUGCAUUCCCACACCGCCAAGCAUGUAGCGGCACUGAAGUGCUAAUGCAAAUCAGCUGCGCUGAGCUUGAGCCAAAUUACAAAGCCUGAAUAUGUCCACAUUACAUCUGUGACAAACCCUGAAAAGACUAACCUCGAAACAUAAACAAACCCCAACCAGUGCAAAAGGUAGGAGUAUGUAAUGUGCGUAUGUUUGUGUCUGAAGGUUGACAGCAGUAGUGUUCUGACAUGUUAGCUCUGCCCAGCUGUGAUUGCUGUAUGCAGGUCAGGAAACUAACUUUUUUUAUCCAGUGCCUGGUGCACCCAUGAAUUCUCCAGCCAAUAUAAAUUUAACCGGACAACUAGAUAUUUAGAAUAGAAGAGUACCUCCAAGGGAUGGGUGGGUACCUGCCAAAGACAAACUUACCAGCCACAGGUGAAUUUCACCUGCAUUUGGAUGGUGGCUGGUGUUAGGUUCCUACCCCGGCUGUAUGGUAAAGGUCCUAUUGUGGCUGUCAGUAGCCGAAUGCCCAGGGGUCCACAGUAGGACAGCGUUAGCCUUGGGGUUGGGUAGCUGAUGUCAUAGCUCCUCCUAAUAGCUCAGCUGGAGCCACGUGUUAUUGGUGGUCAUAAUAUGCCUCCUCCUCUGAUUGGCUCAAGCUGGAUGGAUGUAGUGCUGUGGGUCCUGUAAGCUGUGAGGUGAGGGCUGGCUCUUGGGCAGAUACAGGAGACGAGUGCUUAGCGACAGGCGUUGUUGAAAACACACAGUUGGAGACGUUAAGGGGGGGGGUGAAGACUCCGCGGCUGAGGGUGAUGUCAUGCGCUGCGGCUCCGCUCGUGUGCUCUGCAGAGACGCGCUCGCGCUGUUCCCGGAUCAGCCUGUUCUGGAUCAGCAUGUUCUGGCUCCGCCUGCCGCUCGCUGGCUCUCUGGCUCUCGCGCUCUCAUGCUCCGGUAGCUGAUGCUGAGAGAUUAUGUCUGUGCUCCGGCUUUCCAGCUCUGGAUGUUCAGUGAGGCAAAAGUACAGCCUGUUUCCCCUGAUCCCAACUGUACUGCACAUACAGCCUGCUCUCACUGAUUCAGCUGUACUGUAGAACAGGAGUACAGACUGUUUCCCCUGAUCCCAACUGUACUGCACAUACAGCCUGCUCUCACUGAUUCGGCUGUACUGCACAUACAGCCUGCUCUCACUGAUUCAGCUGUACUGUAGAACAGGAGUACAGACUGUUUCCCCUGAUCCCAACUGUACUGCACAUACAGCCUGCGCUCACUGAUUCGGCUGUACUGUAGAACAGGAGUACAGCCUGUUUCCCCUGAUCCCAACUGUACUGUACAUGCAGCCUGCUCUCACUGAUUCGGCUGUACUGUAGAACAGGAGUACAGCCUGUUUCCCCUGAUCCCAACUGUACUGUACAUACAGCCUGUUCCCACUGAUUCGGCUGUACUGUAGAACAGGAGUACAGCCUGUUUCCCCUGAUCCCAACUGUACUGUACAUACAGCCUGUUCCCACUGAUUCGGCUGUACUGUAGAACAGGAGUACAGCCUGUUUCCCCUGAUCCCAACUGUACUGUACAUACAGCCUGUUCCCACUGAUUCGGCUGUACUGUAGAACAGGAGUACAGCCUGUUUCCCCUGAUCCCAACUGUACUGUACAUACAGCCUGCUCUCACUGAUUCGGCUGUACUGUAGAACAGGAGUACAGCCUGUUUCCCCUGAUCCCAACUGUACUGUACAUACAGCCUGUUCUCACUGAUUCAGCUGUACUGUAGAAUAGGAGUACACACUGUUUCCCCUGAUCCCAACUGUACUGCACAUACAGCCUGCUCUCACUGAUUCGGCUGUACUGUAGAACAGGAGUACAGCCUGUUUCCCCUGAUCCCAACUGUACUGUACAUACAGCCUGCGCUCACUGAUUCAGCUGUACUGUAGAACAGGAGUACAGACUGUUUCCCCUGAUCCAAACUGUACUGUACAUACAGCCUGCGCUCACUGAUUCGGCUGUACUGUAGAACAGGAGUACAGACUGUUUCCACUGAUCCCAACUGUACUGUACAUACAGACUGUUUCCCCUGAUCCCAACUGUACUGUACAUACAGCCUGUUCCCACUGAUUCGGCUGUACUGUAGAACAGGAGUACAGACUGUUUCCACUGAUCCCAACUGUACUGUACAUACAGACUGUUUCCCCUGAUCCCAACUGUACUGUACAUACAGCCUGCUCUCACUGAUUCGGCUGUACUGUAGAACAGGAGGCAUUUGGACUCAGUCCAGCUGUCCUGCAGAACCGUUAACUGCUUCUGGCUGUGCAACCCAGUACCUGCUCAGCUCCAUAUUCUUAACCGUGAUUGUUCUUCCUACCAUUGAAGAUCUUGAAAGUGUUUAUAGUGGGGCAUGAGCAGAUACAGCCCUGUGUAAUGGAUGCUCUUGGAAUCACCAUGUUGAGCCAGGGAGGGGCAGUUCCAGUCCUGGAGAGCCGGUGUGUUUGCAGGUUUUUGUUUCCUCCAGUUGCCCUGCCGAAAUGAGGCAGCUGACUGUAUACUCCAACACCGGCUCUCUCCUCCAUUAGAUCACCGUAAAGGUUUCACAUAGGGACACAAGCACAGUCUUCGGGUGUCAUUCAUGUGCUGCUGAAGAAAUGUGGCUGAAAUAUCAGACAGUGUGAAUGUUAGGGCUGGUUACGUAAUGAAGGCCAGAAGUUGGCAUGAAACACGGGAGCAGAUGUGGCCCUCGUUGCCCACCCCUGUGCGGAGCUGUGCAGAGGCUGGCAGUGCCAGCCGGUUGCUCUGUUGACUGGUUGGCGGUGCUGAAGGACAUCCUGCCGGCCUGCCAGUCCCGCCAUGGCGCUCUGCCGCGCGGCUGA